rnacentral:rRNA from 1 species
UACAGAGGUCUCAAGCGUUGUUCGGGAUUCAUUUGGGGCGUAAAGGGUGCGUAGGGCGGCGCGGUGAAGUCGGGUGUGGAAAUCAUCGGGCUUAACUCCGAAACUGCAUUCGAUACUGCCGUGCUUGAGGACUGGAGAGGAGACUGGAAUUUACGGUGUAGCGGUGAAAUGCGUAGAGAUCAUGGAGGAAGACCAGUGGCGAAGGCGGGUCUCUGGACAGUUCCUGACAGUGAGACACGAAGGCCCAGGGGGAGCAAAACGGGG